CAAGAUAUAGCUUAAGCAAAGCAUCUGGCUUACACCCAGAAGAUUUCAUACUAAACUGAAUAUCUUGA
rnacentral:tRNA from 1 species